CAGGAGUAUUGAUCAUGGAUCACGAUGAACGCUAGUUUUCAGGCCUAAUACAUGCAAGUCGUAACGGGGAUUGACCUUCAGCAGCUUGCUCUGGGGGUAUGAGAGUGGCGAACGGGUGCGAUAACGCGUAUGCAACCUGCCCAUGACAGGGGGAUAGCCCGGAGAAAUCCGGAUUAACACCGCAUGACUAGCUACAGUAUGGCAUCAUACAGUAGUCAAAUCUGAGGAGGAUCCAUGGUAUGGGCAUGCGUGCCAUUAGCUAGUUGGCGGGGUAACGGCCCACCAAGGCGAACGAUGGCUAGGGGAUCUGAGAGGAUUGCCCCCCACACUGGUACUGAGACACGGUACCAGACUCCUACGGGAGGCAGCGGCUAAGGAAUAUUGGUCAAUGGAGGGAACUCUGAACCAGCCAUGCCGCGUGCAGGACAGACUGCCCUAUGGGUUGAUAAACUGCUUUUGUUAGGGAAUAAACCUUUCUACGAGUAGAGAGCUGAAUGUACCUAAAGAAUAAGGAUCGGUUAACUCCGUGCCAGCACAGCCGCGGUAAUACGGAGGUAUCCGAGCGUUAUCCGGAUUUAUUGGGUUUAAAGGGAGCGUAGGCGGCCUAUUAAGUCAGUGGUGAAAGACGGCAGCUCAACUGUCGCAGUGCCAUUGAUACUGAUGGGCUAGAAUAUAGCUGAGGUAGGCGGAAUGUGACAAGUAGCGGUGAAAUGCAUAGAUAUGUCACAGAACACCGAUUGCGAAGGCAGCUUGCUAAACUAUAAUUGACGCUGAGGCUCGAAAGCGUGGGUAUCGAACAGGAUUAGAUACCCUGGUAGUCCACGCCCUAAACGAUGAUGACUCGAUGUUAGCGAUAUACCGUUAGCGUCCAAGCGAAAGCGUUAAGUCAUCCACCUGGGGAGUACGUCCGCAAGGGUGAAACUCAAAGGAAAUUGACGGGGGCCCGCACAAGCGGAGGAGCAUGUGGUUUAAUUCGAUGAUACGCGAGGAACCUUACCCGGGCUUGAAAGUUACUGAAGAACGCAGAGACGCGUUCGUCCUUCGGGACAGGAAACUAGGUGCUGCAUGGCUGUCGUCAGCUCGUGCCGUGAGGUGUUGGGUUAAGUCCCCGCAACGAGCGCAACCCCUAUGUUUAGUUUGCCAGCAUGUAGUGGGUGGGGGACUCUAAAACAGACUGCCCCCCGCCAAGCCGGGAAAAGGAAAGGAUGGGGACGACCUCCAAGUCAUCAUUGGCCCUUUACGUCCCGGGGGCUACCACACCGUGUGCUACCAAUUGGCCCGGGACAAGAAGGGCCCCUACCCCAGCGGAUUGGGAUUGCCCAAUCCUUCAAAAAGGCCGGGUCACCGUUU
rnacentral:rRNA from 1 species